rnacentral:rRNA from 2 species
GACUCUCGGCAAUGGAUAUCUUGGCUCUUGCAUCGAUGAAGAACGUAGUGAAAUGCGAUACUUGGUGUGAAUUGCAGAAUCUCGUGAACCAUUGAGUCUUUGAACGCAAGUUGUGCCCGAGGCUUUGUGGCCGAGGGCACGCCUGCUUGGGCGUCAUG